CACCCAUCGAGCCUGGCUCGGUAUUGGAUCCCGGGGGUGACCCGGAUCCCAAAGUCGUCGGCUGGACAGCUCUGAUCUCCGCGUCGUGGAAUCCAUUCGCAGACGAGAUGGGCGUCCCAAGCCAAGCAAAAUAUCCAUUCAA
rnacentral:misc_RNA from 1 species